GCAGUCGAGCGGUAACAGGUGUAGCAAUACAUGCUGACGAGCGGCGGACGGGUGAGUAACGCUUGGGAAUCUGCCUGUUAGUGGGGGACAACCCGGGGAAACUCGGGCUAAUACCGCAUACGCACUACGGUGGAAAGCCGGGGACCGCAAGGCCUGGCGCUAACAGAUGAGCCCAAGUCGGAUUAGCUAGUUGGUAGGGUAACGGCCUACCAAGGCGACGAUCCGUAACUGGUCUGAGAGGACGACCAGUCACACCGGAACUGAGACACGGUCCGGACUCCUACGGGAGGCAGCAGUGGGGAAUAUUGGACAAUGGGCGAAAGCCUGAUCCAGCGACGCCGCGUGGGUGAAGAAGGCCUGCGGGUUGUAAAGCCCUUUCGGUGGGGAAGAAAAGCCUCGAGUUAACACCUCGGGGUCUUGACGUAACCCAUAGAAGAAGCACCGGCUAACUCUGUGCCAGCAGCCGCGGUAAUACAGAGGGUGCGAGCGUUAAUCGGAAUUACUGGGCGUAAAGCGCGCGUAGGCGGCUUUGCAAGUCGGGUGUGAAAUCCCCAGGCUUAACCUGGGAACUGCAUUCGAGACUGCAUUGCUAGAGUAUGGGAGAGGGAAGUGGAAUUUCCGGUGUAGCGGUGAAAUGCGUAGAUAUCGGAAGGAACAUCAGUGGCGAAAGCGACUUCCUGGACCAAUACUGACGCUCAUGUGCGAAAGCGUGGGGAGCAAACAGGAUUAGAUACCCUGGUAGUCCACGCCAUAAACGAUGACAACUGGAUGUCGGGAGGGUCUGCCUCUCGGUGUCGUAGCUAACGCGUUAAGUUGUCCGCCUGGGGAGUACGGCCGCAAGGUUGAACUCAAAGGAAUUGACGGGGACCGCACAAGCGGUGGAGCAUGUGGUUUA
rnacentral:rRNA from 1 species